CCUACGGGAGGCUGCAGUGGGGAAUAUUGCACAAUGGGCGCAAGCCUGAUGCUGCCAUGCCGCGUGUGUGAAGAAGGCCUUCGGGUUGUAAAGCACUUUCAGCGGGGAGGAAGGCGUUAAGGUUAAUAACCUUGGCGAUUGACGUUACCCGCAGAAGAAGCACCGGCUAACUCCGUGCCAGCAGCCGCGGUAAUACGGAGGGUGCAAGCGUUAAUCGGAAUUACUGGGCGUAAAGCGCACGCAGGCGGUCUGUCAAGUCGGAUGUGAAAUCCCCGGGCUCAACCUGGGAACUGCAUUCGAAACUGGCAGGCUAGAGUCUUGUAGAGGGGGGUAGAAUUCCAGAUGUAGCGGUGAAAUGCGUAGAGAUCUGGAGGAAUACCGGUGGCGAAGGCGGCCCCCUGGACAAAGACUGACGCUCAGGUGCGAAAGCGUGGGGAGCAAACAGGAUUAGAUACCCUUGUAGUC
rnacentral:rRNA from 1 species